rnacentral:rRNA from 1 species
AUUGAACGCUGGCGGCAUGCCUUACACAUGCAAGUCGAACGGCAGCACGGGUGCUUGCACCUGGUGGCGAGUGGCGAACGGGUGAGUAAUACAUCGGAACGUACCUUAUCGUGGGGGAUAACGCAGCGAAAGCUGUGCUAAUACCGCAUACGCCCUGAGGGGGAAAGCGGGGGAUCGAAAGACCUCGCGCGAUUAGAGCGGCCGAUGCCUGAUUAGCUUGUUGGUGGGGUAAAGCCCACCAAGGCGACGAUCAGUAGCUGGUCUGAGAGGACGAUCAGCCACACUGGGACUGAGACACGGCCCAGACUCCUACGGGAGGCAGCAGUGGGGAAUUUUGGACAAUGGGGGAAACCCUGAUCCAGCAAUGCCGCGUGAGUGAAGAAGGCC